rnacentral:rRNA from 1 species
AAAUUGAAGAGUUUGAUCAUGGCUCAGAUUGAACACUGGCGGCAGGCCUAACACAUGCAAGUCGAACGGUAACAGGAAGCAGCUUGCUGCUUCGCUGACGAGUGGCGGACGGGUGAGUAAUGUCUGGGAAACUGCCUGAUGGAGGGGGAUAACUACUGGAAACGGUAGCUAAUACCGCAUAACGUCGCAAGACCAAAGAGGGGGACCUUCGGGCCUCUUGCCAUCGGAUGUGCCCAGAUGGGAUUAGCUAGUAGGUGGGGUAACGGCUCACC